rnacentral:rRNA from 1 species
GUGUCAGCAGCCGCGGUAAGACGGAGGGUGCAAGCGUUGUUCGGAAUUACUGGGCGUAAAGCGCGGGCAGGUGGUUCUUUAAGUCCUUUGUGAAAUUCCGGGGCUCAACCCCGGAUGUGCAGAGGAUACUGGAGAACUGGAGACUGGUAGAGGCGAGCGGAAUUCCUGGUGUAGCGGUGGAAUGCGUAGAUAUCAGGAAGAACACCGGUGGCGAAGGCGGCUCGCUGGGCCAGUUCUGACACUCAUCCGCGAAAGCGUGGGGAGCAAACAGGAUUAGAUACCCUGGUAGUCCACGCCGUAAACGAUGGGCACUAGAUGCCGGGCCUAUAGACGGGUUCGGUGUCGCAGCUAACGCAUUAAGUGCCCCGCCUGGGGAGUACGGUCGCAAGACUGAA